rnacentral:rRNA from 1 species
CUACGGGUGGCAGCAGUAGGGAAUCUUAGACAAUGGGGGAAACCCUGAUCUAGCCAUGCCGCGUGAGUGAUGAAGGCCUUAGGGUUGUAAAGCUCUUUCGCUGGGGAAGAUAAUGACGGUACCCAGUAAAGAAACCCCGGCUAACUCCGUGCCAGCAGCCGCGGUAAUACGGAGGGGGUUAGCGUUGUUCGGAAUUACUGGGCGUAAAGCGCGCGUAGGCGGGCUAUUAAGUCAGGGGUGAAAUCCCGGGGCUCAACCCCGGGACUGCCUUUGAUACUGGUAGUCUUGAGUUCGAGAGAGGUGAGUGGAAUUCCGAGUGUAGAGGUGAUAUUCGUAGAUAUUCGGAGGAACAUCAGUGGCGAAGGCGACUCACUGGCUCGAUACUGACGCUGAGGUGCGAAAGUGUGGGGAGCAAACAGGAUUAGAUACCCCGGUAGUC